rnacentral:rRNA from 1 species
AAUCUGCCUGGUAGUGGGGGAUAACGUCCGGAAACGGGCGCUAAUACCGCAUACGUCCUGAGGGAGAAAGUGGGGGAUCUUCGGACCUCACGCUAUCAGAUGAGCCUAGGUCGGAUUAGCUAGUUGGUGGGGUAAAGGCCUACCAAGGCGACGAUCCGUAACUGGUCUGAGAGGAUGAUCAGUCACACUGGAACUGAGACACGGUCCAGACUCCUACGGGAGGCAGCAGUGGGGAAUAUUGGACAAUGGGCGAAAGCCUGAUCCAGCCAUGCCGCGUGUGUGAAGAAGGUCUUCGGAUUGUAAAGCACUUUAAGUUGGGAGGAAGGGCAGUAAGUUAAUACCUUGCUGUUUUGACGUUACCAACAGAAUAAGCACCGGCUAACUUCGUGCCAGCAGCCGCGGUAAUACGAAGGGUGCAAGCGUUAAUCGGAAUUACUGGGCGUAAAGCGCGCGUAGGUG